rnacentral:ncRNA from 1 species
UUUAACGAGAGUUUGAUCCUGGCUCAGGAUGAACGCUGGCGGCGUGCUUAACACAUGCAAGUCGAGCGAAGCACUUUACUUUGAUUUCUUCGGAAUG